CGCAUCUGUGCAUGCAGCAUAUCAAUAAGCGGAGGAAAAGAAACUAACAAGGAUUCCCCUAGUAACGGCGAGUGAAGCGGGAAGAGCUCAAAUUUGAAAUCUUAAAGGGUUUCCCUUUACGAAUUGUAGUUUAAAGAAGUGUUUUCUGUUGAGGUUUUGGUAAAAGUUCUUUGGAAUAGGACAUCAUAGAGGGUGAGAAUCCCGUAUUUGACCUUUACUUUCAACUUUGUGAUACACUUUCAAAGAGUCGGAUUGUUUGGGAAUGCAGUCCAAAAUGGGUGGUAAAUUUCAUCUAAAGCUAAAUAUUGGCGAGAGACCGAUAGCGAACAAGUACCAGUGAGGGAAAGAUGAAAAGAACUUUGAAAAGAGAGUUAAACAGUACGUGAAAUUGUCAAAAGGGAAGCGUUUGACACCAGUGUUGUUUUUCUGAAAAUCAAUUAAAGAACUGUUUAUGCUAAGUUGUUUAGACUUUAUCAGCUAACUGUUUAGUUUUGAGCUUUUCUUUAAUGCACUUUUCAGUUAACAAGUCAACAUCAAUUUCUUUUGCUGUAAAAAAGCUUGAGGAAGGUGGCUUGAGAUUCGUCUUAAGUGUUUAUAGCCUCUUGCCUAUGCAGUCGGAGAGAUUGAGGUCUGCAGCGUAGAUCCUUCGGGGCUAAAUGCAUUUGUGCUAAGUUAUAGCAUUUUAUAGACAACUUGUUGACUAUGAUUUGUCUUGUAGCUUACUCGCUUAUGUUAUUUUACCUACGCUUAGGAUGUUGAACGCGCACAGAGUCUC
rnacentral:rRNA from 1 species